GUGGGGAAUAUUGGGCAAUGGGCGAAAGCCUGACCCAGCAACGCCGCGUGAAGGAAGAAGGUUUUCGGAUUGUAAACUUCUGUCCUCAGGGAAGAAGAAAGUGACGGUACCUGAGGAGGAAGCCCCGGCUAACUACGUGCCAGCAGCCGCGGUAAUACGUAGGGGGCGAGCGUUGUCCGGAAUGACUGGGCGUAAAGGGCGCGUAGACGGCUGUCUAAGUCUGGAGUGAAAGUCCUGCUUUCAAGGUGGGAAUUGCUUUGGAGACUGGAUGGCUUGAGUGCGGAAGAGGUAAGUGGAAUUCCCAGUGUAGCGGUGAAAUGCGUAGAGAUUGGGAGGAACACCAGUGGCGAAGGCGACUUACUGGGCCGUAACUGACGUUGAUGCGCGAAAGCGUGGGGAGCGAACAGGAUUAGAUACCCGUGUAGUCC
rnacentral:rRNA from 1 species